AUUGAACGCUGGCGGCAGGCCUAACACAUGCAAGUCGAACGAGUGGCGGACGGGUGAGUAACGUCUGGGAAACUGCCCGAUGGAGGGGGAUAACUUCUGGAAACGGUAGCUAAUCCCGCAUACCAUCGGUUGUGCCCAGAUGGGCUUGGCUAGUAGGGGGGGUAACGGCUAACCUUGCCGACGGUCCCUAGCUGGUCUGAAAGGAUGACCGGCCAAACUGGAAUGGAGCACGGGUCCAGACUCCUACGAGGGGCAGCAGUGGGGAAUAUUGCACAAGGGGAGCAAGCCUGAUGCAGCCAGGCGGGGUGGAUGAAAAAGUGCUUCGGGUUGUAAAGUACUUUCAGCGAGGAGGCGUUACCCGCAGAAGAAGCACCGGCUAACUCCGUGCCAGCAGCCGCGGUAAUAC
rnacentral:rRNA from 1 species